GGCGGUGAGGCGGUGAGGAGCCGCACCACUUCCGCCCUGUUGGACCAAAGCGGGGCUCGAACAGCGGGUGGACCACACGUGUGAGGAGCAGCUGAGCAGCAGCAGCUGAGGAGCGAGGACUCCGCCAUGAGACGGUAAAGCUCCUGAUGUUGAAUGUUCGUGGUGAAAUGAAGAGGUUGGAUGUUCAGACUCCACCUGAAGAAGAGAAGCUCGCGCACCUUCUCCUCGGCUGAACUCUUUGAUCUGCGGAUGUUUGAGGAUUCAAACUCAACUUCGUCCACGAAGUUUCGAUCCGCUGCUUCCGGAGGGUCCAGAGGGAACCUCGGGCUUCUAAUGAACAGUGACGUGUUUAACACGAGACUGAACUCACUUUGCUUCAGGUCCAUUCAGACUAACACGAGCAGCUGAGCACGUGGUGGAGGUGCUGAGACCUGAGAGUUUUAAUUCUGCAGCUCCCGCCUCUUUCCUGAAGAGUCCAGCGGCACCGGUGACCCAGUGGACGCCGACACGUGCAUCAUGUUUACAGCAACAAUGUUGUGUCAAGAUGGCCGCCGCCAAGAAGCAGGAAUACGAGGAGUUCCACUGAACCUGAGAACAGGUGAGCAGGUCUGCUUCUGUACGACAACGCUCACAACGCCAGUGCUCAAGAUGAUAUGAUGUCAUUUAAUUUGCCUGUUAUAAAACAUAAUGAAGUAUCUGUGCUAAUUCAGCAAGUUCAUGAG